AUUCCACUGUCGUCACUUGCCUGAGAACUAAUUAGCUUGUGUGUGUGUGUGUGUGUGUGUGUGUGUGUCUGGUUGAUUUUAUGAAGGGUGCUCCAGGUCGCGAAGGAAGACCGGGCCCUCCUGGACCCCCCGGAGAGCCAACAGCACUGCCGAUUGUUGGAGAUGUGAGCACUUUGCUGAAGAAUGCCUGCAGUGUUUGCCAGAUGAGAGUGCCAGGUCUGCCUGGGCAGAAGGGUGAAAAGGGAUCACCCGGGUUGCCAGGAGUGCAGGGCAUCGAUGGGGAGAAGGGCGAUCAAGGCUUGCGGGGUCCUAUUGGUCAUCCAGGCAAAGAGGGUCCCAAGGGAGUGAAGGGGGAAAGAGGCUUCCCUGGCCCAAUGGGUGAGAAAGGAGACGAGGGUCCCCCUGGCGCGUCCGGAAUCCCUGGAGCAACUGGUCGCGCUGGUCCGCCGGUGAGUAAUGCAUUUCCUCCUGUCAACACUGAGAGGCAUAAUGCCGGUAUGUUUGGCUUUCCACAUUUUUAGUCGAUUGUGGUAGUUGAUGCCAU
rnacentral:lncRNA from 1 species